rnacentral:rRNA from 1 species
AGUGAACGCUGGCGGUAGGCCUAACACAUGCAAGUCGAACGGCAGCACAGUAAGAGCUUGCUCUUACGGGUGGCGAGUGGCGGACGGGUGAGGAAUACAUCGGAAUCUACUUUUUCGUGGGGGAUAACGUAGGGAAACUUACGCUAAUACCGCAUACGACCUACGGGUGAAAGCAGGGGAUCUUCGGACCUUGCGCGAUUGAAUGAGCCGAUGUCGGAUUAGCUAGUUGGCGGGGUAAAGGCCCACCAAGGCGACGAUCCGUAGCUGGUCUGAGAGGAUGAUCAGCCACCCUGGAACUGAAACAGCGUCCAGAAUCCUACGGGGGGCAGCAGUGGGGAAUAAUAGACCAUGGGCGCAAGCCUGAUCCAGCCAUACCGCGUGGGUGAAGAAGGCCUUCGGGUUGUAAAGCCCUUUUGUUGGGAAAGAAAAGCAGCAGGUUAAUACCCCGCUGUUCUGACGGUACCCAAAGAAUAAGCACCGGCUAACUUCGUG